rnacentral:rRNA from 1 species
AACGAACGCUGGCGGCAUGCCUAACACAUGCCAGUCGAACGAGACCUUCGGGUCUAGUGGCGCACGGGUGCGUAACGCGUGGGAACCUGCCCUUAGGUUCGGAAUAACUCCCCGAAAGGGGUGCUAAUACCGGAUAAUGUCUUCGGACCAAAGAUUUAUCGCCUUUGGAUGGGCCCGCGUUGGAUUAGCUAGUUGGUAGGGUAAAAGCCUACCAAGGCGACGAUCCAUAGCUGGUCUGAGAGGAUGAUCAGCCACACUGGGACUGAGACACGGCCCAGACUCCUACGGGAGGCAGCAGUGGGGAAUAUUGGACAAUGGGCGAAAGCCUGAUCCAGCAAUGCCGCGUGAGUGAUGAAGGCCUUAGGGUUGUAAAGCUUUUUUACCCGGGAUGAUAAUGACAGUACCGGGAGAAUAAGCUCCGGCUAACUCCGUG